GAUGAACGCUGGCGGCGUGCCUAAUACAUGCAAGUCGAGCGAGCGGAGACGGGUGAGUAACACGUGGAUAACCUACUAUAAGACUGGGAUAACUUCGCGACACCGAAGCUAAACCGUAUCCUUAUAGAUGGCACCGCGCUGCAUUAGCUAGUUGGUGAGGUAACGGCUUACCAAGGCAACGAUGCAUAGCCGGCCUGAGAGGGUGAUCGGCCACACUGGAACUGAGACACGGUCCAGACUCCUACGGGAGGCAGCAGUAGGGAAUCUUCCGCAAUGGGCGAAAGCCUGACGGAGCAAUGCCGCGUGAGUGAUGAAGGUCUUCGGAUCGUAAAACUCUUUUAUUAGGGAAGCGGUACCUGCACAGAAAGCAACGGCUAACUACGUGCCAGCCGCCGCGGUAAUAC
rnacentral:rRNA from 1 species